rnacentral:rRNA from 1 species
UACGUAGGGGGCGAGCGUUGUCCGGAUUCAUUGGGCGUAAAGCGCGCGUAGGCGGCAGGGCAAGUCGGCCGUGAAAUCUCCCAGCUUAACUGGGAGGGGUCGGGCGAGACUGCCCCGCUAGAGGCGGGUAGAGGGCAGUGGAAUUCCGGGUGUAGUGGUGGAAUGCGUAGAGAUCCGGAGGAACACCAGUGGCGAAGGCGGCUGCCUGGGCCUGGCCUGACGCUGAGGCGCGAAAGCGUGGGGAGCGAUCAGG